UGUGGGAGCUGGCUUGCCUGCGAUAGCGGUGGUUCAGUUGAAGAUUCAGUGACUGACAGGCCGUCAUCGCAGGCAAGCCAGCUCCCAUA
rnacentral:misc_RNA from 1 species